rnacentral:misc_RNA from 1 species
UCUCUCUCUCUCUCUCUCUCAAUCGCUCGACAUUUCCAAGGUAAAAAAAGGAGAAAAGAAAAAUUCUCUCUUGAUCUUUCCCUUUUUCGAAUCUGUAGAGAUCAGGAGACCCCUCUGGCCUUUUUUCUUUUUCACUUCUCCGGGUCAGUUUCAUGGCCUUGCCUUAAUCUCUCUACUUUUCAUUAAUAUUUUUUUUUUCCAUUUUCAUUAGUUUUCAGUAAUAGUAUAUAACAAUGAAAUAAUUAAAAAGCCUUGUAUAUUUAUGUUGGUAUUUAAUGAUUAUUACAGUUUGGCACAUUCGAAUAAUUUUAAAACGAAUAUGCUUUUAUUGCACCAACUACUCCUCUCUUAUAGCUUCUAUUUGGAUAUGAGGCUUUCUGGCUUUCCCUUUUUAUGUGUCUGUCUGACUAGUUUUUAAGCUGCUUUCGUAUCUGUUUGAUAUGUUUCUCUCAUUUGUAUCUUAAUUUGACCUGCUGGGUAUUGGCAACUUAUAUGAGUUUGGUGGGUGUCCUUUUAAUUUUUGUUUUGAUGCUUUAGAAGGCCUUUUCUAUCUUCAUCUGAUUUUUGUUUUGUGGUUCCGCGCAAAAGAAAGCUUUGGUAUUUUGAGGAGUCAUUAAUUGGAUAAUCAAACUGCGAUGUGAUUUUGGAUUUUUGAUCUGGUUUCUAUCAGAAUUGCAGUUUUGGAGAUACUGGGAGGGUUAGGAGCGUGUCGAAUUCACAGGUUUGAGGUUUAUACUAAUAGAGCCUCGCAAUCUUGUGGGGUUCGUGGCUUAGGUUCUUAAGUUAUGAUAGAAUUUUGAGAAUUUGUGCGUUGGGUGAUCUGAGGAAUCCGAGUGUCAUAAUAUGUAUACUGUAGGGAGGCUUAUAACCAGAGGGGUUUACACUGUCUCGGGCCCCUUUCACCCUUUUGGUGGGGCUGUGGAUAUCAUUGUGGUGGAGCAGCCAGAUGGUAGCUUUAAAUCCUCGCCUUGGUAUGUUCGGUUUGGGAAGUUUCAAGGGGUAUUGAAGGCGACAGAGAAGGUGGUUAACAUUAGUGUUAAUGGAAUAAAUGCAAAUUUGCACAUGUAUCUUGAUCAGAGAGGAGAAGCUUACUUUCUCAGGGAGGAAGAAGGAGAUGAAGGGGAAUCUGUUUCAUCAUCUUCUAGUGAUGAGACAGAUGAGCAAUCUCAGAAUAGCAGGAGGCCAAUGAAGUCCAGUAGCUGUGAUUUUGAUGGUAAUAAGUUAAAUUCAUGUGGUCAGAUUGAUGGAAAUAAAGAGAAGAAUGUUGCUAGGACUAAUUCCCGCCGGUCAAGGAUAUUUGGUCUUGUUUUUGGAAGGAGGCCAAUGAAGGAAGAUGGUUAUCAAGAUGGAAGUAAUAAUGAUGGUGCUGGUGUGGUAAGGAUAAGUUCAUUGGAUCGUGCAGAGAUUGCAGCCAACCUCUUGGAUGUGAAGUGGUCAACUAAUCUUACCACUAGUAAGUCCAUGAAAGAAAAUGCUUCACAGUUUUCUGCUUUAGAUACAACUGAUGGUAAAGGGGACAGAGAGAGGCUGACCAAUGAUGGACAAAGCCAGGUUGGCUCAUCUGUGCAGGAUGCCACUGAAGCCAGUGUGGGCCAUUAUGUGUUUUCUGAGGAAACAGGUUGUUGUAAUGUGCAAAUGGGCAACAGUUCCCACUCUGGCUUUGAGAACAGGAAAUUUUCUGUUGAGGAAAUUAGUGUAGGAAUGUCAAGUUCAGGUGCCACUGAACAAAUUGUUGAGGCUUUGAUGUUAGAUGAAAGUGCUUUGGAAGAAAAAUUGGAAGAAAUAUCUUCAAUAGCAAGAAACACCAAUGAACCUGGUUUACAGAACGCUGAUCAAGAUGACAAUUCUGAGGGUGUAAUCUCUGAUUUUUCUUGUUCACAUUCACAAAUCGUGGAUGUGUUCGGAACAUUUCCUAGCAAGAAGUUUGAUCAAGAAUGUGUAUCUGAUGAAAGAAACGUUGCAUUAGCAGGUUUUGGCAUUUCUGAGGAGAGUGGAUCCAAUGGAACUCAAUCCUUCAUUUACUGCGAGAAAUCUGAGAACUCACUAGUAGGGUUGGAUGGUUCAAAAGAACAAGCUGAGGAAACACUGUGUCUCACUAGUGGUGGACCUGGGGAUGUUAACUUUUGUGCUGAAACUUUGCAUGUGACAACCGAAUUACUACCUGAGGAUACAGUUACUGAGCAAGCUGAGGAAAUAGAAUUGGAGACAGUAUUCACCAAGUCUUGUGAUAAUUACCCUCAACUAACAAAUCCAUCUCCUCCUUCGGUAUGUGGCUGUGAUGUGGUGAAUUUUGAAGUUCCAUUGGCAGUGCCAAAAUCCCAUGCUCAAAUGAUCACUGUGGACCCUAUACUUGAUUUGACUGAAGCAGAUUCAAAGAGCAUUAGCUCCAUUUCCAAUUUUACCAUAUCAGUUUGUCAAUUUGAAAAUGGGAGAAAUAUUGCGUAUCAAAUUGCCAGAGAUGAGCUGCGACCUUCCUUGAAAUCAGUGAGUGGUUUAGAACAACUUCAUGGUGAUUGUGACCUGGAAAAAGCAGUUAGUGUUCCAGUAUCAGAGAAUUCAGAGGAGGAACAAUUCAUUUUCAGUGAUCUUGAUGACUUCAAACACAGAGAAACUCGUGAAAAUUUGAAUUUUUCAGAUGUUGUAGUUGAAGAAAAUAAUCCCUCAUUUUCUACUGAGGGCACUAACGAAGUGAAUAAGCCUCUCAGUAGAAAUGAUAAAUCCUUUUCUUCUCAAGACAGCUUUUUCCAAAAGAAUCAAUUGGCUGAUGUUGAAACCCUGAUGGAAAAUUCAAAGGGAGCAUCAAGUCCAAUUUCUAUUCCUAACCUUCAUAACACUGCUCAUAUGAAAGUUGGGUGGUUGGCAGAAUCAUUACCCAAUAUGUGGUCUUGCAGUGACAAUAUGGGUACAGAGGACCUCCAUCGUCCUUUAAGCCAUUCACUGGACUCAGGUUCCAAACCUUUGGAAUGGAAAUUGCAAAACAAGGAUGAGUCAUGCUGCAUAAAUUCAGACACAGGCGAGGAAAGCCAAUCAUCACCAGAGCUCUCAAAUAGGAAAGAUUCUCAUAAUCCAGAAGAUAUAAAAAAUAGUGUUGCCAAUCCUGCUGUUGGGGAUCUAUCAGAAGCCAUUGUUACAACUGGUGGAAGCUGGAAACUCUGGCCUUUCACUUUUAGAAGAUCAAGAUCUAGGAAGACCACGCAGUCAACUAUUCCUGAUGCCAGGAGUUCUGAUGCUGAGAAAGCUUCAGAUGGCAACAUUGAUAUGGAUUAUGAUAGAAAUGCUGUUAAGACAAAGGUCUCCAAAAAGAUGGUAAGGGCGAUUACCCCAACAUCUGAAGAGUUGGCAUCCUUGAAUCUGAAGGAAG